GUCCACGCCGUAAACGAUGGGCACUAGGUGCUUAGGGGAGCGACCCUCUGGGUACCGGCGCUAACGCAUGAAGUGCCCCGCCUGGGGAGUACGGCCGCAAGGCUGAAACUCAAAGGAAUUGACGGGGCCCGCACAAGCGGUGGAGCAUGUGGUUUAAUUCGACGCAACGCGCAGAACCUUACCUAGGCUUGACAUGCACGGGAAAGCUGGUGGAAACAUCGGCCCCUCUUCGGAGCCCGUGCACAGGUGCUGCAUGGCUGUCGU
rnacentral:rRNA from 1 species